GAUGAACGCUGGCGGCGUGCCUAAUACAUGCAAGUCGAGCGAACAGACGAGGAGCUUGCUCCUCUGACGUUAGCGGCGGACGGGUGAGUAACACGUGGAUAACCUACCUAUAAGACUGGGAUAACUUCGGGAAACCGGAGCUAAUACCGGAUAAUAUCUUGAACCGCAUGGUUCAAUAGUGAAAGACGGUUUUGCUGUCACUUAUAGAUGGAUCCGCGCCGCAUUAGCUAGUUGGUAAGGUAACGGCUUACCAAGGCAACGAUGCGUAGCCGACCUGAGAGGGUGAUAGGCCACACUGGAACUGAGACACGGUCAAGACGCCUAAGGGAGGCAGCAGUAGGGAAUCGUCCGCAAUGGGCGAAAGCCUGACGGAGCAACGCCGCGUGAGUGAUGAAGGUCUUCGGAUCGUAAAACUCGGUUAUUAGGGAAGAACAAAUGUGGAAGUAAAUAUGCACGUAUUGACGGUACCUAAUCAGAAAGCCACGGCUAACUACGUG
rnacentral:rRNA from 1 species